rnacentral:ncRNA from 2 species
CGACCCCGUGCGGGAGAGUCCCCGGGCACGUCCCGGGGCGCCGAAGGAGCAACCCUCCCCGGAAUCUCUCAGGCAUCCAGUACCGCUCGGGCGAG